GGGAGGACUCCAGGGUGAUGUUGAAGUCGUGCAGCGUCUGGAGGACACUGAUGACCUGCGGGAUUUAGUUUGGACGCGUCUUCCGACACUAUCAAAACGUUCUUGGAAACAUGGCGGUCAUGUGAGCUCAUCACUCACCGGGCUCCAAGGCAGACCAGCAGCUGAAACUUGCCGUCCUUGCCGAUGCUCCGGGACGUGCCGUUGAUGCCGUUGACGUACCGGCAGAAGGUCUCGCAGCUUGGGCCCACGGACUUUGGGGAUUCUUGUAGGUCCCCCACCUGGUCAGCACUUUCCAGCAGGUUCACCACUGUUUGUAGACGAGCCAAAGCAUUGUGUACGACACAAAGCUCGUCCCAGUCCUGUGUGUGACGCAGAGACCGAUCGAGCCCUGCCUCGUGAUUGGAUGAAGGCUUACCCACGAAGUCCCAAACAAAGACGUUCUUCUGGAAGAGGCGGGCAGUCUUGAAGCCAUGGUGGAAGAACUGCUCCAGGGAGGAGACCAAGCCAUUUUCACCGCACAAAAGGAGGGUCAGGCUGCCUCUCUGCAGGGCACAAGACGAGUGCCUUUCAGAGGCAGCGGUCACAAGGCGCUGAACAAUAUAAUUGUGCUAAAAGGUACAAGGCCAAAACAAAACAUCAGAAGAUAGAGAUUAAGAGAGACUGCAGUCAGCCCAUCGUCAUGCCCGUCAGCCACAAGGGACCCACCUCUUUCUCGGGCUUGUGAAAGUGUUUGAUGAUGUUGUUCACCGCCUCGCCGAUGGCCUCCUGGAUCUGAGCGCAGUUGGGCUCUGUGAAGAAGCACUUUAAGAUGCUGCAGUUCAGAUGAUCCCUCUGACCUCACGUUAGCAGUUUGGCCACAAAGCACAGAGAGAGCAGAGGGGAGCGAGGGCCGUUAAAAGUGCCAGUCGGAUUCUGGGCACCGGCUCAGUCAGAAGGGACACGAGGGUCACACGUUCACCAGCUGUCACUCGCCGACUCCAGCCUCCACAGGUCCUCCACAUGAGGGCGGGGGGGGGGGCCCCAAAGCCUCCACAAAAGCGGGUAACUUGUCAGCUAGUUCAGCUACAGUCAACCCCCAAUUAAAGCACAAGGUUUCAGCCAGGGCAUACCUAGAUACUAUGCCCCCCCCCCGAAAAUGUCACCUUGCCACCGAUUUUUACUUAGUUUUACAUAUUCAUUGGCCCCUGUCAAGUGCUGCCCCCCUGAAUCUGCUAGGGUAUCCAUGUCACUACUGUAUGCCUGCGAUACAGCAGAGAAUAAAGAGCAUCUGUAAUGAGUGAGAAAAGUAACUCUGCUUUUGAGGAGAGGGGAAUUCUGGGAUAUAUGUAGGCUGCAGGGCACCCUGGGUGAAAAG